rnacentral:rRNA from 1 species
AUGGCGGUGGCGGUGGGAGGCAUGGGCGCGGGCGAGCUGGCAUGGUGGCUGGGCCUCGUCUUCGGCGCUGCGCCGCUGCUCUGCCUCGCCGCCUGGCACUCCGCCGACGCCUGGUACCGCGCCGCCUUCUACCUCAGGCACGGCGGCCGGCGCCGCCUCCCGCCGGGCCACAUGGGCCUGCCCUUCCUCGGCGAGACGCUCUCCCUGCUCUGGCACUUCAAGCUGGCGCGCCGCCCGGACGCGUUCAUCGCCGCCAAGAGGCGCGCGCACGGGGCCGGGGCGGGCAUCUACCGGACGCACCUCUUCGGCUCCCCCGCCGUCAUCGUGUGCACGCCGGCCGCCAACAAGUUCGUGCUCCAGUCCGCCGACAGCUUCGGCGUGCGGUGGCCCGUGCCGGAGCUCGUCGGCCACACUUCCGUCGUCAACGUCGAGGGCGCCAGCCACGCCAGGCUCCGGGGGUUCAUCCUCGCCGCCAUCAACCGUCCCAGCUCGCUACAGACUAUCGCCACCGUUGUGCAGCCGCGUGUCGUGGCGGCGCUAGCGGCGUGGGCCGACAUGGGAACCAUCGUCGCCGCAACCGAGAUCAAGAAAGUGACGUUCGCCAACAUCUGCAAGAUGUUUAUAAGCAUGGAGCCGUCGCCAUUGACGUGCCAGAUCGACCGGUGGUUCGCCGGCUUGGUUGCUGGCCUCAGGGCAUUUCCCUUGGAUUUUCCAGGGACGGCAUUUCAUGGUGCUCGCAAGUGCCGUCGGAAGCUCAACGCGGUCUUCAGGCAGGAGCUGGAGGCGAGGAAGAAGGUGGACAAGGAGUGUGAUGAUCUGAUGAGCGGACUGAUGCACAUGGAGGACGAGCAAGGCAAGAAGCUGAGCGACGAGGAGGUGGUGGACAACAUCGUCUCCCUCGUCGUCGCCGGCUACGAGUCUACCGCCAGCGCCAUCAUGUGGGCUACCUACCACCUAGCCAAAUCCCCUGCCGCCCUCGCGAAGCUCCGAGAGGAGAAUGUGGCGCUGAGCGAGAGUAAAACCAGCUCACCGUUGAUGAUCACCCACGACGACCUCCCGAAGAUGAAGUACACGGCGAAGGUGGUGGAGGAGACGAUCCGGAUGGCCAAUAUCGCGCCAAUGGUGCACCGAGUGGCCAACAAGGACGUGGAGUACGGCGGGUACAUGAUUCCGGCGGGAUGGUCGGUGCUGGUGUGGGUGAGGUCGCUGCACACCGACCCCAGCUUCUACCAUGACCCCCUCACCUUCAACCCCGAUAGAUGGGAUGAGCCGGCGAAGCCAGGGACGUACCAGGUGUUUGGUGGCGGCUACAGGAUCUGCGCCGGCAACAUGCUCGCAAGGCUGCAGCUCACCAUCAUGUUGCAUCACCUCUCCAUUGGAUACGAAUGGGAGCUGUUGAAUCCUAAUGCGGAGAUCGGUUACCUUCCACACCCAAGGCCGAUGGACGGUGCAACCAUGGCCUUCCGUAAGAUCAAGCCCAACGCAUGA